rnacentral:rRNA from 1 species
UACGUAGGGUGCAAGCGUUUGUCCGGAAUUAUUGGGCGUAAAGAGCUCGUAGGCGGUCUGUCGCGUCGGCUGUGAAAACUCGGGGCUCAACCCCGAGCCUGCAGUCGAUACGGGCAGGCUAGAGUUCGGUAGGGGAGACUGGAAUUCCUGGUGUAGCGGUGAAAUGCGCAGAUAUCAGGAGGAACACCGGUGGCGAAGGCGGGUCUCUGGGCCGAUACUGACGCUGAGGAGCGAAAGCGUGGGGAGCGAACAGG